rnacentral:rRNA from 1 species
CUCAGGAUGAACGCUGGCGGCGUGCCUAACACAUGCAAGUCGAACGAAGCUUGACGGAUGAUUUCUUCGGAAUGAAACCAGAUAUGACUUAGUGGCGGACGGGUGAGUAACACGUGAGCAACCUGCCUUUCAGAGGGGGAUAACGGCUGGAAACGGUCGCUAAUACCGCAUGAUGUGUUCGGAUGGCAUCAUCUGAACAUCAAAGAUUUAUCGCUGAAAGAUGGGCUCGCGUCUGAUUAGAUAGUUGGUGGGGUAACGGCCUACCAAGUCGACGAUCAGUAGCCGGACUGAGAGGUUGAACGGCCACAUUGGGACUGAGAUACGGCCCAGACUCCUACGGGAGGCAGCAGUGGGGAAUAUUGCACAAUGGGGGAAACCCUGAUGCAGCAACGCCGCGUGAGUGAAGAAGUAUUUCGGUAUGUAAAGCUCUAUCAGCAGGGAAGAAAAUGACGGUACCUGACUAAGAAGCCCCGGCUAACUACGUGCCAGCAGCCGCGGUAAUACGUAGGGGGCAAGCGUUAUCCGGAUUUACUGGGUGUAAAGGGAGCGUAGACGGCGCAGCAAGUCUGAUGUGAAAGGCAGGGGCUUAACCCCUGGACUGCAUUGGAAACUGCUGUGCUUGAGUGCCGGAGGGGUAAGCGGAAUUCCUAGUGUAGCGGUGAAAUGCGUAGAUAUUAGGAGGAACACCAGUGGCGAAGGCGGCUUUCUGGACGACAACUGACGCUGAGGCGCGAAAGUGUGGGGAGCAAACAGGAUUAGAUACCCUGGUAGUCCACACUGUAAACGAUGAUAGCUAGGUGUGGGGGGUCUGACCCCUUCCGUGCCGGAGUUAACGCAAUAAGCUAUCCACCUGGGGAGUACGACCGCAAGGUUGAAACUCAAAGGAAUUGACGGGGGCCCGCACAAGCAGUGGAUUAUGUGGUUUAAUUCGAAGCAACGCGAAGAACCUUACCAGGUCUUGACAUCCGACUAACGAGAUAGAGAUAUGUCAGGUGCCCUUCGGGGAAAGUCGAGACAGGUGGUGCAUGGUUGUCGUCAGCUCGUGUCGUGAGAUGUUGGGUUAAGUCCCGCAACGAGCGCAACCCCUGCCAUUAGUUGCUACGCAAGAGCACUCUAAUGGGACCGCUACCGACAAGGUGGAGGAAGGUGGGGACGACGUCAAAUCAUCAUGCCCCUUAUGACCUGGGCUACACACGUACUACAAUGGCCGUCAACAGAGAGAAGCGAAACAGCGAUGUGGAGCAAAACUCUAAAAACGGUCCCAGUUCGGAUUGUAGGCUGAAACUCGCCUGCAUGAAGUUGGAAUUGCUAGUAAUCGCGGAUCAGCAUGCCGCGGUGAAUACGUUCCCGGGCCUUGUACACACCGCCCGUCACACCAUGGGAGUUUGUAACACCCGAAGUCAGUGACCCAACCGCAAGGAGGGAGCUGCCGAAGGUGGGAUAAGCGACUGGGGUGAAGUCGUAACAAGGUAGCCGUAGGAGAACCUGCGGCUG